GGGCGGCUAGCUCAGCGGGAGAGCACUGCCUUCACACGGCAGGGGCCACAGGUUCGAACCCUGUGCCGCCCACCA
rnacentral:tRNA from 1 species